rnacentral:rRNA from 1 species
GAUGAACGCUGGCGGCGUGCCUAAUACAUGCAAGUCGAGCGAACAGACGAGGAUCUUGCUCCUCUGACGUUAGCGGCGGACGGGAGAGUAACACGUGGAUAACCUACCUAUAAGACUGGUAUAACUUCGGGAAACCGGAGCUAAUACCGUAUAAUAUAUUGAACCGCAUGGUUCAAUAGUGAAAUACGGUUUUGCUGUCACUUAUAGAUGGAUCCGCGCCGCAUUAGCUAGUUGGUAAGGUAACGGCUUACCAAGGCAACGAUGCGUAGCCGACCUGAGAGGGUGAUCGGCCACACUGGAACUGAGACGCGGUCCAGACUCCUACGGGAGGCAGCAGAAGGGAAUCUUCCGCAAUGGGCGAAAGCUUGGCGGAGCAACGCCGCGUGAGAGAUGAAGGUCUUCGGAUCGUAAAACUCUGUUAUUAGGGAAGAACAAAUGUGUAAGUAACUAUGCACGUCUUGACGGUACCUAAUCAGAAAGCCACGGCUAACUACGUG